GGUACAGUCGGCUAUAGCUACCACUCACCCCCAUUUUCAGCCGCUUAGCCGCUCUCGCUCCUGGGAAGUAUAGUGCCCCUUUCUCUAUCGAGCACCUCUUUGUCUCUCACACACACGAAUAAAGGAAACACUGACGUCUGUUGCUGAGAUUCCGGGCUAUUAUUAGCAUUGUCGGCCGGUUGAAGAGACCGUCUAUAGGCUCCGUCUCAUUUAUUGAACUCACAUCCCUGUACAGCACCAAUUUCGGGCAGCAAUCUCCUCAGUACGACGACACCGCGAUGCAGACAGUUUCCGUCGUCGCCAUGAAGCUGUUCUUGUUCGCCGCCAUAGUGGCAGAAAUACUACUGAUUGUCCAGGCGCAAGAAGGCAACAAUGGACGUGGUGGAGGCGGAGGACCAAAAUACAACUGAGGCUGCCUCAUCGGUGGUGUCCUCGGACCUCAGGGUGCCGAACAGGCGACCGUACAAUGGACUUCAUAAUGAUAUCGCGUUUGGCUGAAGUCUUUGAAGAGCGGCGCACGUUACCGCGAGUCAUCAAUAAAGUACUAGUAUAGUGACGAGAAAGCUG
rnacentral:lncRNA from 1 species